AAGAAGGCAUCUGUUUCAUAUUUUCUUUUCAGAGGAAAUAAUUGAAUUAGUAGCAUUAUCAUCAUGUUACAAAUCUAUUUGGUUUGGCUUGCCUUGGCUAUCAUUGAAGAGUCCAAUGGGCAGAUUGCGGUCACUCAGACACCAGCCUUUUUACGGACAAAUCCUGGGGACACAGCCACCAUUCAGUGCAGCACUUCUUCUUCAGUCAGCUCUUAUAUGAACUUCUAUCAGAUGAAACCGGGAGAAAAACCCAAGCUGCUUAUUUAUAGUACUUCAACCCGUUUUGAGCAGACCCCCGAUCGCUUCACUGGCAGUGGCAGUGGCACUGGCUACACAUUCAAUAUCAAUGGUGUCCUUCCUGACGAUGAAGCGGUGUACUUCUGUGGCCAAAGCUAUAACACACCUUUACACAGUGAUACAUCUCAGCACAAAAACCUA